AUGAACGCUGGCGACGUGGAUAAGGCAUGCAAGUCAAGGGGGUCCCGAUAGCAAUAUCGCGGAUCACCGGCGAACGAGGUAGUAACACGUAGGUACGAACCCUAGAGUCUGGUAUAGCUCAUCGAAAGAUGGGGUAAUCCCAGAUAGUCUCCGAUCCCGCAAGGGCAUCGGAGUAAAGGAGCAAUUCGCUCUGGGAUCGGCCUGCGGGGUAUCAGCUAGUUGGUAAGGUAACGGCUUACCAAGGCUAUGACGCCUAGGGGAGGUGAGAGCCUGACCCCCACCGAUGGUACUGAGACACGGACCAUACACCUACGGGUGGCUGCAGUCGAGAAUCUUCCGCAAUGGGCGAAAGCCUGACGGAGCGACGUCGCGUGAUUGAUGAAGUUCCACUGGAAUGUAAAAAUCUUUUAUAGAGGAGAAACCCCGCCCUAGGCGGGGGUGAUAGUACUCUAUGAAUAAGGGGUUGCUAAACUCGU
rnacentral:rRNA from 1 species